GGAAUAGCUCAGUUGGUUAGGACGUAUGGCUGUUAACCAUAAGGUCGGAGGUUCCGAGCCCUCCAACUUCUA
rnacentral:tRNA from 1 species